UGUAACUCCGGCAACAGACAGAAGGCUUUGUGGCAAGCAUUAGCUGGUUGGACACCAAGGUGGACAGACUUUCCAUAAGUUGCACACUUAGGAAAUGGGUGUUUGUGACCACCAAAGCCCACACAAAUCUCAUAUGUUACAUCCUUGCUUGGCUUUGUAUCCCAGUCUGUGUGCUGCAUCAGCUGGGAGGCAGGGAGCCCUUGUGGUCUGCUGUCUCAGGCCUCAGAAGAAAGCACAUCACAGGCGACUGUGGCUUUCUCCACAGCUUCUGGAUUUACCUGCAUGCACCCAUUCUGGUUAACCUGAUGGCUGCUAGUGGACAAAAGAGUUACAGAGAGAGGUAGAGACAAAGAGAGAGGACUUCCAUCUGCUGGUUCACUCCCAAGAUGGCCACAACGGCUGGAGCUGCGCCAAUCCGAAGCCAGGAGCCAGGAGCCUCUUCCGGGUCUUCCACGUGGGUGCACGGGCCCAAGGACCUGGGCCAUCUUCCACUGCCUUCCCAGGCCACAGCAGAGAGCUAGAUCGGAAGUGGAGCAGCCAGGACUAGAACCGGCACCCAUAUGGGAUGCUGGUGCUUCAGACCAGGACUUCAACCCGCUGUGCCACAGCGCUGGCCCCAAUAGGUGGGAUUUUUGUGUAUGGAUUCAUUCACAAAGCAUAAUAUUCCAAAGAUUUAUCCAUUUUGUGGCAUGUAUGAUGUUUCCUUUUUGUUGCUAAAUAACACUUCAGUUAUUUUAGUUUUGCAUUCCUGCUAUAACAAAUUAACAUAAGCUUAAAACAAUGAAAAAACUUUAUAUUACAUUUCUGCAGAUCAGAAAUCUGGAGUUGGUUUCAAUGGGCUAAAAUCAAGAUAUUGUCAGGGAUGCAUACCUUUUGGGUGCCCCAGGGGAGAAUCUAUUUCCUUGCCUUUUUCAGAUUCUAAAGGUGAUUGCAUUCCUUGACUAGUGACCUCCUUCCUCCACUUUCUUUCUUUUUUUAGAUUAACUUAUUUAUUUGAAAGGCAGAGUUAAAGAGAGAGAGAGUAAGGAGCAGAAAAGGAGAGAGAUCUUCCAACCACUGGUUCACUCUCCAAAUAGCACAGUGACUGAGGUUGAGACAGGCCAAAGCCAGAAGCAUCCAGGUUUCCUACAUAGGUAAAGGGGCCCAGGGACGAGGGACAUCUUGCGCUGCUAUCUCAGGCACAUUAGCAGGGAGCUGGAUCUGAAGUGGAGUAGCUGGGACUCGAAGCAGCAUCCGUAUGUGAUGCCAGUGUCACAGAAAAGAAAUAACAUCUUUCUGAGAGUCUCUUCUAUCUCCCUCUUCUACUUUUAAGGACUCUUGUGAUUACAUUCAAGCCACAUGGAUAAUUUCCCCACUUAAAAGACCAGCUGAGGGCUAGGAUUAUGACUCAGUGAAUUAGGCUGCUGCCUACAACACCAGCAUCUCAAAUGAGUGCUAGUUUGUGUCCUGGCUGCUCUAGUUCCCAUAUAAAUCCCUGCUAAUGUGCCUGGGAAAGCACUGGUAGAUGUCCCAAAUAAUUGGGCCCCAGCCACCUAAGUGGGAGAGCUGGCUGGAGCUCCAGGCUCCUGACUUUGUCCUGGCCCAGCCCCAGACAUUGUGGCCACUUGGGGAGUAAACGAAUGGAUGGAAGAGCUCUGUAUUUCUCCUCUCUCUGUAACUCUUUUAAACAAAAUAAAAUAAAAUAGAUCUUUAAAAAUAAGACCAGCUGAUUAGCAAUUCUAAUUUCAUCUAUUACUUUAAUGCCUCUUUGUCAGGUAAUAUACCAUUCACAUUUCUGAGGGUUAGGAUACAGACAUACAAUGAUUUGCCUACCACUUAUUGUAAACACAUCACAUUUAUUUAUUCAUUUAUCAAUUGAUGGAUAUUUGAGUUGUGUCCACUUUUGGCAAUUAUGGUUAAUGCUGCUAUAAAUAUUUCAAAUGGACAUAUGAUUUCAUUUCUCUUGGGGAUAUAACUAGGAGGGGAAUUGCUGCAUCAUAAAAUUUACCUUUUUAGGAAAAUUGUUCUGGCUCAGAAUGGAGAGCAUUUAGGGUGAUAUAUGUAUGUUAGGUAAACAAAUAACACCUAUUGGUGAAGUCUUCAGAAAGAAAACAUUCAAAUUGGAUCUUUACAAGUUAUAUAAUAAUAUAUUGGUUUUGUUUUAAUUGUGAAAGUAUUAAAUUAAAGUAAAGGAUUCAGAAAUACUAUAGAAAUUUUAUUUUAAAAAAUAAAAAUCCUUAAUACUGCACAACCUGGCAAAAACUAUUGUUAAUGUUCUGCAGUAUUUGCUUUGGGUUUACGUGUGUGUGUAAAUGGAGUUCAUAUUGUAUAUAUGUUUCUAUUUCUUAUUCUUUUUCAGAAGAUUUAUUUAUUUGAAAAGCAGAGUGAUAGAGAAAGAGAGAUCAUUCAUCCACUGAUUCACUCCCAAAAUGAGUGCAACAGCUAGGGCUGAGCCAGUGGAAGUCAGGACCCAGGAAUUCCAUCCUAGUUUGCCACAUAGAUGUCAGGGGCCCAAGUACUUGGGCCAUCUUCUACUGCUUUCCCAGGUUCAUUUGCAGGCAGCUUAAUCAAAAGUGGAGAAACUGGGGUCCAAACCAGCACUUUGAUGUGGAAUAUAGGCAUUACAAGUGGCAGCUCAACCUGCUGCACCACAAAACAGACCCCUAUAUCCUAUUAUUUUCUGUCAACAUAUGUCACAAACAUUUCCCCAUAUCAUAAGCUUUCAAAAACAAUAAUGAGGCUGGCGCCGCGGCUCACUAGGCUAAUCCUCUGCCUUGUGGUGCUGGCACACCGGGUUCUAGUCCCGGUCGGGGUGCCGGAUUCUGUCCCAGUUGCCCCUCUUCCAGGACAGCUCUCUGCUAUGGCCAGGGAGUGCAGUGGAGGAUGGCCCAGGUGCUUGGGCCCUGCACCCCAUGGGAGACCAGGAGAAGCACCUGGCUCCUGCCUUCAGAUCAGCGCGGUGCGCUGGCCGCGGCGCGCCGGCCGUGGCGGCCAUUGGAGGGUGAACCAACGGCAAAGGAAGACCUUUCUCUCUGUCUCUCUCUCUCACUACCCACUCUGCCUGUCAAAAAAAAAAAAAAAACAAUAAUUAUAGCUAUAUAGUAUUCCAGAUUAAAAUAUCAUCUCUUAAUUAAUUAAUCCUCUACUAUAGAAUAUUUAGGUUGAUAUUCAUUUUUCUAUUAUGACAGGUAAUACUAUGAGGAGCUUUCUUGUUCUUAUAUCUCUUCUUUGAGCAGCUUCUUUUUUAAAAAAAUUAUUUAUUUGAAAAACAGAGAUACAGAGAGAAGGAGAGAGAGAGAUCGAACUUCCAUCCACUGGCUCACUCCCCAAAUGGCCACAGCAGCUGGGGCUGGGCAGGCCAAAGCCAGGAGCCUCUUCCAGGUCUCCCAUGUGGGUACAGGGACCCAAGCACUUGUGAUAUCUUCUGCUGCUUUCCCAGAUGCAUUAGUAGGGAGCUGGAUUGGAAGUGGAGCAGCCAGCACUGGAAACGGUGCCCAUAUGGGAUGCUGAUACUGCAGGCAAAGGCGUAAUCUUCUAUAACACAGCACUACCACCCCCUUUUUAAAGAUUUAUUUAUUUGAAAGGCAAAUAUACAAAGACAAGGGGGAAGGUGGGGAGAGAGAGAGAGAACUGCAUCUUAAUGAAUAAACUGAGUAUAACAGAAAAUCUGGCAAGAUGAUGGUCUCACAAAAACAUACCAACAGAUGCCUUUGUGCACAAAUCCUGAGAAAGACAGGCAUCAGUGUUCAAACCAAGACUCAUAUAUUAAAGACCACAGCUUGCCUUCAAAAUUAUUGAUGAUGCAAAGUUUUACCCAGCCAUGAUAAUAAUCUAUCAUUGAUACUGGUAACAUGAAACUAUCAACUGAAUACUGGAAUGAUUAAACUUCACCUCUUCUAAUCCAAGAGUUGUUUGUGUUUUUAAACUAAAUAUUGCAAGAUUGAAACAAAAGAAAACUUUAAGCCCAGGGGGAGCAUUUCAGGCAUGGAAAGCCAAGACACUCUGGGAAAAAAUGUCCUACAUAAAGGACCCCUGUGGGUGAGACCCCAGUGGAAAGAAGUGGCCACCAAAGAAGGUACUUUUCUCUGAAGGGAAGAGAGAACUUCCACUUUGCUUAUGGCCUUGUCAAGCUACUGGAUCCAAAAAGGCUUCCAUAGCUGAGGCAAUUCAUGUCAAGAGCCUUGGGUGAUCACUGAUGUCAUGCAUAAGAGUGUUAUUUGUUAAAUAAACAAGAGUCACUGUGCACUAACUUCCCAUGCAAGACCUCUGUCUACACAGUUGUAUCAUGAGACUUUUUUUAAUAGAAAACUUUUAUUUAACAAAUACAAAUUUUGAAAGUACAUCUUGGUGGCUGGUGCCAUGGCUCAAUAGGCUAAUCCUCUGCCUUGCAGCACCGGCACACCAGGUUCUAGUCCUGGUCGGGGCUCCGGAUUCUGUCCCAGUUGCCCCUCUUCCAGGCCAGCUCUCUGCUGUGGCCCAGGAGCGCAGUGGAGGAUGGUCCAAGUGCUUGGGCCCUGCAACCGCAUGGGAGACCAGGAGAAGCACCUGGCUCCUGCCUUCGGAUCGGUGCGGUGCGGUGCGGCGGCCAUUGGAGGGUGAACCAACGGCAAAGGAAGACCUUUCUCUCUGUCUCUCUCUCUCGCUGUCCACUCUGCCUGUCAAAAAAAAAGAAAAAAAGAAAAAAAAAAAAGAAAGUACAUCUUGGGACCAGCGCCGUGGCUCACUUGGUUAAUCCUCUGCCUGCAGUGCUGGCAUCCCAAAUAGGCUCCAGGUUCUAGAUCAAUUGCUCCUCUUCCAUUCUAGCUCUCUGCUGUGGCCCAGGAGGGCAGUGGAGGAUGGUCCAAGUGCUUGGGCCCUGCACCUGCAUAGGAGACCAGGAGGAGGCCCCUGGUUCCUGGCUUUGGAUUGGCACAGCUCUGGCCAUUGUGGUUACUUGGGGAGUGAACCAAUGGAAGGAAAAUCUGUGUCUCUGUCUCUGUCUCUCACUGUCUGCAACUCUAUCUGUCAAAUAAAUUUUUUUUAAAAGUAUAUCUUUUGGAUUAUAGCAGUUCUUCCCCACAUAACCACCCUCCCACCCGCAAACUAUCCCAUCUCCUACUCCCUCUCCCAUUUCAUUCUUCAUUAAGAUUCAUUUUUAAUUAUCUUUAUAUACAGAAGAUCAACUCUAUACUGAGUAAAGAUUUCAACAGUUUGCACCCACACAAACACACAAAGUAUAAAGUACUGUUUGAAGACUAGUUUUACCAUUAAUUCUCAUAGUACAACACAUUAAGGACAGAGGUCCUACAAGGGGAGCAAGUGCACAGUGACUCCUGUUGUUGAUUUAACAAUUGACACUCUUAUUUAUGACGUCAGUGAUCACCCAAGGCUCUUGUCAUGAGCUGCCAAGGCUAUGGAAACCUUGUGAGUCCACAAACUCCGACCUUAUUUAGACAAGGCCAUAAGCAAAGUGGAAGCUCUCUCCUCCCUUCAGAGAAAGUUACCUCUUUCUUUGAUGGCCCCUUCUUUCCAUCGGGAUCUCACUCACAGAGAUCUUUCAUUUAGGUCAUUUUUUGCCACAGUGUCUUGCUUUAAAUGUCUGAGAUACUCUCAUGGGCCUUUCAGCCAGAUCCAAAUGCCUUAAGGGCUGAUUCUGAGGCUAGAGUGCUGUUUAGGGCAUUUGUCAUUCUAUGCUUCUGCUGUGCAUCCCGCUUCCCAUAUUGGAUCGUUCCCUCCUUUUUAAUUCUAUCAAUUAUUAUUAGCAGACACUGAUCUUAUUUAUGUGAUCCCUUUGACACUUAAUCCUAUCUUUAUGAUCAGUUAUGAACUUAAACUGAUCACUUUAACUAGUAAGGUGGCAUUGGUACCUGCCAACUUAAUGGGAUUUGGAUUCCCAUGGCAAGUUUUUAGCUUUACCCUUACAGUAAGUCUGAGGGAGCGUGUGCCAAACUGUACAUCUCCUCCCUCUCUUAUUCCCAUUCUUAUUUUUUAAAGGAUUUAUUUACUUAUUUGAAAGAGUUACAGAGAGCGGUAGAGACAGAGAGAGAGGUCAUCCAUCCACUGGUUCACUCCCCAGAUAGCCGCAACGGCUGAAGCUGUGCUGAUCCAAAGCCGGGAGCCAAGGGCCCUGCAUGGAAGACCCGGGGUCUUCCAUGUGGGUGCAGUGGCCCAAGGACUUGGGCCAUCUUCUACUGCUUUCCCAGGCCAUAGCAGAGAGCUGGAUCGGAAGAGGAGGAGCCAGGACUAGAACCAGCGCCCAUGUGGAAUGGUGGCACCUUAGGCCAGGGCUUUAACCUUCUGUGCCAUAGUGCCAGCCCUAAAUCAUGAGACUUAAUAGUAAAACUUGUUCUCAAGAAUCACCUCCUUUUACUGUAUUAAAAGGAAGAUAUAUAUUAUGUUUCAUAAGUUAUAGUCAUGUGUGAGGACUCACAAAAGAUGUAUUAUCUUUGGAUUCUUUAAAGACAAUUAAGUUUCAAAAAGAAAAGUAGGGGAGGAAGGAAGGGAAAAGAAGGGAGUAAAAAGUGAAAACACCUUCGAGAAGCAGUAACAAAGAACAGCCCUUAUCUAGACUGUUGAGGAACAGUUCUCUUAGUUUUUUUACUCUAUUACUUCUCUCUCUUUCUUUCUUUUUCCUUUUCUUUCUCAGACCAUAUUGGGGACGGGGGGUGUAGGAGGAUGGGGGCAGUGGGACGUGUUCCUAAUGUUGUAUUUACAAGAGAACAAGAUACAUAUAAAUAAAUAGAUAGAUAAUUAAAUAAAUAAAUAUAAAGCAAACUUUACUGUUAAGGAAGUCAUGCCAAUUGAUAGAUACUACUUUACAUAUGUGCUUACAAAGUGGAAUUUCAAGCAUCAGCUAGCACAUAUGUAAUGUAUUCAAGAACAGCUAAACUUGCUGGAAUCCCUUAAAUACACCAUGAAGCUGGGGUCGCCUGCUUAUACAUAAGAGCAUUCCUGCCUGUGUGGUCUGAUGUGGAUAUAACCUGAUGAUGGAUGUGUCAAAGAAUUGCAUGGUUAUAAUUUGUUUAUUGGGUAGUUGGCAUGAGACAUCAAUUAUGUUUAAGCAAGAAGGCUAAGUUGCUACAUACAUUGCAAUCAACAGAGCAACAUUAAAAUGGUUUUAUUUUAAAUUUGCAUUCUAGUUUUUUUUAAAGAUACCAUCUAGCUUUUUUUCUUAAUGUUUUUGUAUGCACAUUAUGCAAAAUUUAUAGCAACACAUCAUUUACCUAAUCAUUCCAUGGAGCAAGAGAGACAAGAUGGAAUAAAGGCAAAUCAGUGUGAAAAUAAAUCAUAGCCUAUUCCUCAUUUUAUUUUAGGUUACAAAGCAGAGAACAGUUAAGUAUUUUUAAAUAAAUGAGGAAGCUGAUUAUAUCAAUAAAUAAAAUAACUGAAAUACAAUUCAAGAUAACUUCAUUUAAAUGAGCUAAAAUAGUCCAACCUAUCCUAUUCUGGUCCUAAUUUCAAUCUUAAAUCUUCCAAAAGUUAUCAAGUUUACCUGGCUUCCCUCCUUAAAAAAUGUAAGCAAGAAAAUACAAAACCCACAGGGCAAAAUAAAGCAAAGGAGUCUGAUGUCAAAUAUGUUUAUUUUUCUAGAGGGUAGUAAAUUAGUAACAAAUGUGUUCUGGGUCUGAAUACUGGAGGCAGACAUAUUGGGAAUAGGAUUCCUGGCACAUGUGAGUCCCAACUGGUAGCAUAACUAGUAAUUAAUGUAUUGGAAUCAAUUCCAAUAAAUUGGAUAUUAUAGGUUUCUUUUAUCAACUUUCCUUGUGAUUCUUCACUGAUUUAUUAGAUGAUAAACAUUCUUAAAGUUUUGUAUUGAUUUUUUUAAGAUUUACUUAUUUAUUAAUUUAUUUGAAAGGCAGAGUUACAGAGAGGCAGAGGCAGAGAGAGAGAGAGAGGUCUUCCAUCUGCUGGUUCACUCCCCAGAUGGCCACAAUGGUCAGAGCUGUGCCAAUCAGAAGCCAGGAGCCAGAAGCCUUCUCAAGGACUUGGGCCAUCUUCCACUGCUUUCCCAGGCCAUAGCAGAGAGCUGGAUUGGAAUCAGAACAGCCGGAACUCAAACUAGCACCCAUAUGGGAUGCCGGUCCGGUACUGCAGGUGGCAGCUUUACCUACUAUGCCGCAGCGCCCCCUGUAUUGAUUUUAAUAAGUCAAGUUUAUUUCUGGAUGAGGGAAAGGAUAAAAGGAAGACUAGAGAGAAUGUUAUGUCAUGAGUUGUUCCAAGGUAACGCAAAAGAAGAGGAUGACCGCCAAGGAAUCUGUGGCUAGGAUAUCAAGGUAAGUGAUUGGUAUUCUAUAUAAAUUUCAGACAGUCUUAGCAUAUGUGACUCAUCCAUUUACUAAUCCAGGGUAAAAUUUGUUUGCUUUUGUGGCCGAACUAAUCCCAUCUGUUUCAAAGGACUCUUGCCCACAAUUAUGCCCUAUUUUUAUUUAGCUUACACGGAACAGUCAUUUUGUUGGUUUUAUUUUUCCCCAAAAAUUUUGGGUCAGAGCAAUACUAUAUUUGAAGUGGUUUUUGUGAGUUUCUCUAUGCUUGUUUUGAUAUCCCAUUGGAACAAGGUGUGUCCUUUAUAGAUUUUCUGGUUUUUAUAAAGAAUUGUUUUCUAUAUAAAAAUCACAUGUUUAAAUUUUUUCCCUUACAUUUUUAUCCUUUUAGAAUAAAAGUAUCCUAUGAAAAAGGGGAGAACAUAGUUUGAGCAAACAUAUCAAGUUUUAAAUGCUACCAUCCUGAGCACGUGUUGUGGUCAGUGGGUUAAGCUGCUGCUUGAGAUACCCAAAUCUCAUUAUUGGGUUUGGGUCCCAGCUCUGCUUUCUUUUUUAAAGAUUUAUCUAUUUAUUUGAAAGUCAGAGUCACACACAGAGAAGCAGAGGCAGAAAGGGGUCUUCCUUCUGCUGGUUCACUCCCCAGAUGGCCGCAACAGACAGAGCUGCGCCGAUCCAAAGCCAGGAGCCAGAAACUUCUGGGUCUCCCAUGCAGGUGCAGGGGCCCAAGCUCUUGGGUCAUCUUCCACUACUUUCCCAGGCCAUCCAGCUCUACUUUUAAUCCAGCUCCCUGGUAAUGCACACCCUGGGAAGCAGCAGGUUAUCACUCAAGUACUUGGACCCUGUCAUCAUGUAGGAGACCUGGACGAAAUUCCUGGCUUCUGGCUUUGCCCUGACCCAGUUCUGUCUUGCAGGCAUUUGGGGAAUGGAUCAGAAGGCUCUCUCACUUUCUCUUUCUGUCAUCUUGACUUUCAAAAAAAUGAAAAAGAAGUAAAACUUCAAAAAUAAAUGCCACCAUCCUCUUCUCUCAUUUCCCUAUUUAUUUAUUUAUUUAUUUGCAUGGCAUGUUUUGUUUUUGAUGCAAUAGGAGAUACAUAUUUGUUCUUGUCUGUUGCUUAAUUUUUCUGUCUCUUCAGAUUCUGCUGUCUAAUGAGCUCUAACAGGCCUUUAUACUAGAGCGUUGUAAAAAAAAGUGUAUUCAUGGGCAGAAUAAUGUGCUUUAUAUUUCUAUAUUUGUGAUGGUCGAUGUGACAAAGUUUGGCUAGCAAUGAGUCAAAGCUAAAAAGCCAGAAAGCAAGAAAUAUGUCAUUAAACACUCAACAAACAUUUGUUGAACAAUUUUUACAUGCAGGGAACCCAGCUGAUUACUGGAAAAGUUACAAAGGUAUGAAAAGUCCAGUUCUUAAAGAUUUAUUUCUUUAUUUGAAAGGCAGAGUCAUAGAGAGAAAGAAGAGAGACAGAGAGGGAAAUUGUCCCUUCCCCAAAUGGCCUCAACGGCUGGGGCUGGACCAGGCCGGAGCCAGGAGCCCAGAGCUUCUUCUGAGUCUCCCACCUGGGUACAGGGUCCCAAGGACUUGAGCCAUAUUUCACUGCUUUCCCAGGUGCAUUAGCUGGGAGCUGGAUCAGAAGUAGAACCAGGGCUGGCGCCGUGGCUCAACAGGCUAAUCCUCCACCUUGCGGCGCUGGCACACCGGGUUCUAGUCCCGGUCGGGGUGCCGGAUUCUGUCCCGGUUGCCCCUCUUCCAGGCCAGCUCUCUGCUGUGGCCAGGGAGUGCAGUGGAGGAUGGCCCAAGUGCUUGGGCCCUGCACCCCAUGGGAGACCAGGAAAAGCACCUGGCUCCUGGCUCCUGCCAUCGGAUCAGCGCGGUGUGCUGGCCGCAGCGGCCAUUGGAGGGUGAACCAACGGCAAAGGAAGACCUUUCUCUCUGUCUCUCUCUCUCACUGUCCACUCUGCCUGUCAAAAAAAAAAAAAAAAAAAAGAAACCAGUCAGGU